UACGGAGGGGGCUAGCGUUGUUCGGAAUUACUGGGCGUAAAGCGCACGUAGGCGGAUAAGAAAGUCAGGGGUGAAAUCCCGGGGCUCAACCCCGGAACUGCCUUUGAAACUCCUUGUCUUGAGGUCGUGAGAGGUGGGUGGAAUUCCGAGUGUAGAGGUGAAAUUCGUAGAUAUUCGGAGGAACACCAGUGGCGAAGGCGGCCCACUGGCACGAUACUGACGCUGAGGUGCGAAAGCGCGGGGAGCAAACAGG
rnacentral:rRNA from 1 species